GCUGGGCGCGGUGUAGUCCCAGCUACUUGGAAGGCUGAGGCUGGAGGAUCACUUGAGCCCAGGAGUUCUGGGCUGUAGUGUGCUAUGCCGAUCGGGUGUCCGCACUAAGUUUGGCAACAAUAUGGUGACCUCCUGGGAGCUGGGGACCACCAGGUUGCCUAAGGAGGGGUGAACCGGCCCAGGUCAGAAAUGGAGCAGGUCAAAACCCCUGUGCUGAUUAGUAAUGGGAUCGCGCCUGUGAAUAGCCACUGCACUCCAGCCUGGGCAAUAUAGCGAGACCGUCUCUU
ensembl:misc_RNA Metazoa_SRP Metazoan signal recognition particle RNA